AGCAGUGUGUAGGAAGGAGUUUCCAUCUUUAUUCUGGCUUAUUCUUAGCCAAAAGGCUGAGAUAGAAAUCUUUACUUUUGAAAAUUUACCUUGAAUCUAGAAACAGCCUAUUUUCCACCUUUUCUUCUACAGUACUUUACUCUGGAUUUUUUAAAUUGCCUUAUACAAAAAUUUUCCUCAAAAAACAAAGUUUUAUUUAUCCGUGAAUUCAAAAGUGUUUUUAGCCAUUCUCUCAUGUGGUUGAAAUCUUACCUCACAGGACUCACUCAUUUGAGAUCUUAUAACGUCCCUAGCUGAAUAAAAGGCUCUGACCAGGAGUGAAACAGGAUGAUUGAGAUGAGAAGGGGAGGCAGGAUGCUGUCUGAAGCAAUGGGCUAUCUUUAGAACUUUCCAGCCUCUGGGUGUUCACAAACCCGUGUUGUGUGUUCACAAACCUGUACCUGAUAUGGCUCCUUCCCUUCCCACGGCAUAUGCAGGUAGUGAGUGAACGAAAAGAUUUCCUGUCACUCAGCACUUCAGGAGGGGAGAAUUUAAGAGAAGGAGGGACCAGUCGGCUAGUGUUUCUGACACCCGAUGCCUCCGAAGGGCACGGAGACGGCCAGAUACCCGGGCAGGUGUGGCAGGUGUGACUGCGGAUCCCCUUAGAUUCGGCGGUAACCCUUUCUAAGACUCCCAGCCGCUCAGCCGUGACGAGGCCCCCGUUUCUGCAGGGCCCCUCGAGUCAUUCAGCAAUUUCUUUGUGCAUCUUGGAGGAAAAAAGAAGUGUAAGGCCCCGUGUCUGUCUUCAAGGAGCUCACUCUCUAAAGGCAGUGGCUGACCCUAAACAUGAUGUAGUCAGUGUCCCAGAGGAAAGCACCGGUGGACCCCAAAAGCCUCUGAGUAUUGAGGAGGACUAUUCUGGUUUCAGCAUCGAAAGUCCUGUAUUUCAAGAAAUUCCUCAGUCCGGGGCAAACUGGAACAGUUGGUCAUCCUGGGAGGAGGGACAGUGACUAAUUUCCUUGGAGGAACGUGAUGAACCCUGGGCAGAGAGCCUAUGCUGAUAGCCAACACCAAUGACAACUGAAAGAUCAGUAUAGGGCGUUGUUCCGUCUCUGAUGCACAGCCAGUAAAACAAAGGACUAUCAGGAACUGGGACCAGAUGUCUGCCCCACCCGGAGACCAGCCCCAUACAUAACUGGCUUGUAGUCUUUGUUCUAUAAGACGGCUCUUUCCGACAGUCAGCCAUCUUCCCUCUUGCUAGCAAGCUGUGAUGAAGAAAUCCAUUUUCUCCUCCCGCCUUGCAUCCUGACUAUGGGCAUGUCUUGAGCUGGGCAGACGGCUCCCUUUGAGAGUAACAAAACUAAGUUGGUUAACACGACAAUUUGGUCAAAAGAAUGAUUUGGUUCAAGAUGAAUAUCCUUUUUAAUAGAUAUACUACUAUGCACUGUUAAACGUUUUCAAAAAAGCACAUAUCUGUUACUUUUAUAAGUUUGCAAAAAGAAGAUACAGAGAAUAUUUUCAGGCACUGGUUUCUUGGAGAGCUGGUGGUGGUGGAAAGGUGGCUGAAGGAGGUAUGAACAACUCCCCACGCUCUACAGAUCAGGACGCUCCCCUGGGAGCGGGACCACCCCAGGGAAAGGCCCGUGGGCUCGGGGCCCAAGGGUGGUGAAGAGGUGAACUACAGCUGCAGGAAUCUCCGCAUUUCCAUAGACCUCCUUCCUGCCCCGUUUUGCCGGUGCCUGGAAGAGCCCUUGCCCUUUGGCCUCUCUGAGAGGCUUCCAGGUUCCUGAGAAGGAACCGCGGGGCUCGAGCGUGACGGUGAGAGCAGCCAGAGGCCCGGGAAGGCCUUAGCUCCUGUGUAUUUUGUUCAGCAAGUAUUUGUUGACGUUCAUUAUACGUGCACAUUUUACCAGGUUUUCUGGGGAGAUAAGUCUCGGGGGGAGACUCUCAGUUUAUUAAUAAAUAUUUUCAGCCGAA